GAUGAACGCUGGCGGCGUGCCUAAUACAUGCAAGUCGAGCGAACAGACGAGGAGCUUGCUCCUCUGACGUUAGCGGCGGACGGGUGUGUAACACGUGGAUAACCUACCUAUAAGACUGGUAUAACUUCGGAACACCGGAUCUAAUCCCGGAUAAUAUAUUGCACCGUAUGGUGCAAUAGUGAAAGACGGCUUUGCUGUCACUUAUCGCUGGAUCCGCGCCGCAUUAGCUAGUUGGUAAGGUCACGGCUUAUCAAGGCUACGAUGCGUAGGCGACGUGAGAGGGGGGUCGCCCCCACGGGAGCUGGGACGCGGACCAGACUCCUACGGGAGGCCGCAGUAGGGAAUGUUCCGCAGUGGUCGAAAGCCUGGCGGAGCGGCGCCGCGUGAGUGAUGGAAGUCUUCGGAUCGUAAAGCUCUGUUAUGAGGGAAGAACAAAUGUGGAAGUUACUAUGCACGGCUUGACGGUAACUAAUCAGAAAGCCACGGCUAACUACGUG
rnacentral:rRNA from 1 species